UGGGGAAUAUUGGACAAUGGGCGCAAGCCUGAUCCAGCAAUGCCGCGUGUGUGAAGAAGGCCUUCGGGUUGUAAAGCACUUUUAUCAGGAGCGAAACGCUGUCGGCUAAUACCCGGCGGAACUGACGGUACCUGAGGAAUAAGCACCGGCUAACUUCGUGCCAGCAGCCGCGGUAAUACGAAGGGUGCAAGCGUUAAUCGGAAUUACUGGGCGUAAAGCGUGCGUAGGCGGUUUCUUAAGUCUGCUGUGAAAUCCCCGGGCUCAACCUGGGAAUGGCAGUGGAUACUGGGAGGCUAGAGUGUGUCAUGAGGGUGGUGGAAUUCCCGGUGUAGCGGUGAAAUGCGUAGAGAUCGGGAGGAACAUCAGUGGCGAAGGCGGCCACCUGGGACAACACUGACGCUGAGGCACGAAAGCGUGGGGAGCAAACAGGAUUAGAUACCCUGGUAGUCCACGCCCUAAACGAUGCGAACUGGAUGUUGGUCUCAACUCGGAGAUCAGUGUCGAAGCUAACGCGUUAAGUUCGCCGCCUGGGGAGUACGGUCGCAAGACUGAAACUCAAAGGAAUUGACGGGGUCAUGAGCUGUUUCCAUG
rnacentral:rRNA from 1 species